rnacentral:snRNA from 1 species
GUGCUGGCUUCGGCAGCGCAUAUACUGGAAUUAGAAUGAUACAGAGAAGAUUAGAAUGGCCCCUGCACAAGGACGACACACAAAUUCAUGAAACAUUUCCAUAUUUU